UACGGAGGGGGCGAGCGUUAUUCGGAAUUAUUGGGCGUAAAGGGCGCGUAGGCGGCUUGACAAGUCAAAGGUGAAAUCCCUCGGCUCAACUGAGGAACUGCCUUUGAAACUGUCUGGCUUGAGGCCGGGAGGGGGUAGCGGAAUUCCCAGUGUAGCGGUGAAAUGCGUAGAUAUUGGGAGGAACACCAGUGGCGAAGGCGGCUACCUGGACCGGUUCUGACGCUGAUGCGCGAAAGCAUGGGGAGCGAACGGG
rnacentral:rRNA from 1 species